GGGUGCGAUCAUACCAGCAAACUAGUGCAAGCCGGAUCCCAUCAGAACUCCGAAGUUAAGCGUGCUUGGGCGAGAGUAGUACUAGGAUGGGUGACCCCCUGGGAAGUCCUCGUGUUGCACCCC